rnacentral:lncRNA from 1 species
GAAGAGACAGCGCCGCCGGCCGUGGGGAGCGGACGCAGUGAUUUGCUCCCCCUCGUGCAGCAACCCCCACACCCAGCACCAGGCCCCCAGAACUCUCCUUCCAGCUGAACUCCCUGGGAACAAGUCAGUUGGGCUGAUCACUGAACUCACAUUUCUGGACCUGAGAUCUUUCCCAUUUUCCCUCCCUUUCCCUUAGGAGCCUGUUCCUCUCACGCCCUCACCUGGCUGAGCCGCAGUAGUUCUUCAGUGGCAAGCUUUAUGUCCUGACCCAGCUAAAGCUGCCAGUUGAAGAACUGUUGCCCUCUGCCCCUGGCUUCGAGGAGGAGGAGGAGCUGCUUUCCCCAUCAUCUGGAAGCGGCUACAGGAAGCUGUGUCUGUUCGAUUUGGUGGGAGGAGAUGUGCAGGGAGCUGUAUCUUGUCCUCCGCUUGUGAAAAACUCAAGGAUGUGGAGAAGAGUAGACCGUGGAACCCUGCUCUUCUGCAGCCAAGCUGAGGGGCAGGAUGCGUGUGGGACAGUGGUAGAGAAGCAGGGGAUAGACUCAUAGGCUGCAACAAAGGUCACUCUGUCCCUGGACACUGCCUCCGUACUUUCUCCUUGCUUCACUGGCCACAGCAUCUCCCUCCAGCCCUCGCUAUGUGCCUCUGCCAUCUUCACCCAUCAUGGAGCAGAGGUGAGGAGAGGCAGCCUGGGAAUAUGGAGACCAGUGAAGGACCAGGCCUGGAGAGCACAGGGUCCUACCUGGGCAUCCAGCAGAGGAGCCCCUAAAGGCCAGGAGCACCCCAAGAGGAGGGAGGGCAGCCAGCCUCCAUUGACGGCGAGCCUCCAGCCCUCUCCUACUUGGAUCACCAUUUCUCUCCAGGCUUUCUGCCUCCGAGAUGUGGCACCAUAGUGCGGUGCC